rnacentral:rRNA from 1 species
GACGAAGGGGGCUAGCGUUGCUCGGAAUUACUGGGCGUAAAGGGCGCGUAGGCGGCACUGUUAGUCAGGCGUGAAAGUCCUGGGCUCAACCUGGGAACUGCGCUUGAUACGGCAGAGCUAGAGGAUGGAAGAGGGUCGCGGAAUUCCCAGUGUAGAGGUGAAAUUCGUAGAUAUUGGGAAGAACACCGGUGGCGAAGGCGGCGACCUGGUCCAUUACUGACGCUGAGGCGCGACAGCGUGGGGAGCAAACAGG